UUUGUGAGUUAAAGUUUUUUGUUUUUCUUCUUUGUCUUAGAAUUGUGAGUGAUCCACAAAAAGGGUGUUGUAGUGUUGUUAUUGUUAGUGUAAGACAAGUAAUUUAUUUACUUGUUUGUUGGUCCAAUUUUCAACAGAAGAGGUCAGCGACACCAAGUGGUUUUUCCUUAUGUUGAUGAUGCAAACGUUCGCUCCAGGCUGUGGGAUGCUCAGACAAACCCUCCUCAUCGGAUCUCCGGUGUGGUUGACGGUGGCAAGGGGCAUGGAGUCGGUGGCGCUCUGCGAGCAGGCAAGGCAGGCGCGUAUGUUCGGGCUCCGCACCAUGACAUGCGUUCCCCUGGCCUACGGCGCUGUCGUCGAACUCGGCUCCACACAAGAGAUCUACCAGAACGUUGAGUUCUUGAACAAGAUCAGAGCGCCGUCGUUGAACCCCUCUUACACGUCAUGGAUCUCCUCCCAAACCCCUCUCACGCAUACCUCAUCUCACGCCCUCUCCGUCCAACUCCUCAUCUCACACCCUCUCCGUCCAACUCCUCUCCGGUGGCGAACCCCUCUAUGCGAACAUCUCCUCUGAACUCAUCUUCCCCGAAUGAGACUCUGCUGAAGAUGAGUGGCAUUUCCUUUCCCAUUUUCUACGACAUUCAUCUUCCUCAGCCAGAGAAUUUGGAUUUGAAUUCUGUAAGAGGACUCAAUCAAGUAUUUUCAUAAGGUAGAAAUAUUCUUCUUUUGAGGAUCCCAUAGAAAGGGAAUUCAAAAUUUUGAAUCUAAUGAAGUUUAAUAGCAAAAGGAAAAGAAUGUCAAUUAUUGUACGGGAUGAAACUGGGCAGAUUAUUCUCUUAUGGAAAGGUGCUAACAGCAUUAUUUUGGAUAGAUUGUCAAAGAAUGGAAGAAUGUUUGAAACAGAUACAAUAAAACAUCUAAAUGAAUAUGAGGAAACAGGCCUACGGACAUUGGCACUGGCCUUCUGGUUUCUUGAGGAAUCUGAAUAUUCUGCAUGGAACAUUGAGUUUCUCAGAGCAAAAACUUCUAUGGAUAAUGAUAGGCUAGCUGAACUGGAGAGGGUUUCAGACAUUAUUUAGGAUUUGAUUCUUGUUGGUGCAACUGCUAUAGAAGAAAAAUUACAGAAAGGAGUUCCUCAAUGCAUAGACAAAUUAGCACAAACUGGUCUCAAGAUGUGGGUUCUUACAGGUGAUAAGAUGGAGAUCGCAAUCAACAUAGGAUACAUAGUAAUAGGUGUUUUGUCCCAGUCUCAAGCUGACAAUCCUUUUUUAGUGUAGCUAGUAGAAGUAAGCAGAUCGUUGCCUUCGAGACCGGCUAAUUAUUUUAUGCUCUUUUAUUUUAAAUUUGAAUGUCACUAUCUGCUUUGAAACAGAAGUAUUUAGUCUUUGAAAUCAUUAGCUAAAUUCUACUUUGUAGCUGAAUUCUACUUUAUAGUUGUAUUCUUCUGUAAAUACUAAUAUCUACUUUGUAGCUGAAUUAUAUUGUUUAAGUUGAAUUCUAUUGUUUUGGUA